rnacentral:rRNA from 1 species
UACGAAGGGGGGCUAGCGUUGCUCGGAAUCACUGGGCGUAAAGCGCACGUAGGCGGAUCUUUAAGUCAGGGGUGAAAUCCCAAGGCUCAACCUUGGAACUGCCUUUGAUACUGGGGGAUCUCGAGUCCGGAAGAGGUUGGUGGAACUGCGAGUGUAGAGGUGAAAUUCGUAGAUAUUCGCAAGAACACCAGUGGCGAAGGCGGCCAACUGGUCCGGUACUGACGCUGAGGUGGCGAAAGCGUGGGGAG